rnacentral:tRNA from 1 species
AGGGCCAUAGCUCAGUUGGUAGAGCACCUCGUUUACACCGAGAAGGUCUA